rnacentral:lncRNA from 1 species
CUGUGACACCUCACAAGCCCAGGGAGUCUGGGAAGCACACAGAGCAAGUGCCGUAGGUGGCAAGUGUCAGGAAGGAACAAAGGAGCUGAAGAUCAAUUUACCAUAGUGUUGCUGAGAAAAAGGCGAGAUGUCUACCAAUGGUCAGGUAGACAAAGGGCCCGAGAACAGAAGGGAUAACAGAGCAAAGGAGAGAGUGAGCUCAAGCCAAGGCAGAUUUUGCAUGAUUGUUGAGCCAUCUCUAGGCAGAAUGGAAGUGUAAUAGUUUUUGAGCAGAAUUUCUCAACCUCAAUUCUGCUAAGUUUGGGUGAGACAAUUGUUGUGUGUGGAGGGGGGACUGUCCAUUGGAUUGUGAGAUCAGAGCAUCUCAGAGCAGUGCCAGAUGGAUACUGAAGUAACAACAAUCUAAACUAAAGCAAAACCAGGAAACAAAAACAAAAUACAUAUAUACAUGCAUACAUACAACAUAUAUACAUAAAUAGUAAGAGAAAAGGAAACCAAGAAACAAAAAAGUAAGAAA